CCGAUGACGUUUUGGAAAUGAUUUCGUGGUCGUGGACACGAGUACGAAGCUUAGAGGAGUGUGGAAUUAGUUCGAACGAUUUUAUUUUGAAAACUGAACGUUUUAGGGGGGUCAAAGGAGUUGACUUUUUAUACAUUGGGAAAUUGGGAAAACUUUCUUCAUGAAAGUUGUAGAGCGCGUCGAUACGAGUUCGUGGACAUAUGGAACGUAAUAUUCGGAGUUCGUAUGAAUAAGUUACGAAUAUUUGAAAAUUGGGAUUUUCUAUAAAUAUGAAAAAAAAAUCCGAAUAUUGCAAAUGAGGACAGAAUUUCUGGAACUCCAGAAAUUUCUCCCCAUUUCUCUCCCGAGCCCAGCCGCGACCCCCUCCCUUCGUCACCUUCGUUCUUCCUCAUCCGGCCACCGAUUGAUGUGAAACAAAGUGGGUUUUUCUAGUCUCGACCCCCUUUACGAGUUUGUAGAAGAAAUCGAAGUGAAAUACGAGCUGUAUGAGGCUCUACAAGGUCGAGAAGAGAGCCUCGUCGGAGACGAAAUCGCUCUUCCCCACUUUUUCUGGGCUCUACUUUUUCUGGCCAUAUCUUCCUCUACAGGCCUCCGAUCGACCUGAUUCCAAAAGCAAUUUUUCUCACCGUGAAGUUUUCUACAACUUUCCAGAAGACAUCGACUUGAGAUAACCAUCGUGGUGGCCGCUAGAAGACCGAGAAGCCGCACAGCCGAGCUGGAAAUCGUCUUCCUUCGCCACCUUGGUUCUCCCAGCUCCGGCCACUAUAGCUCGAGUUCUUUGAGGGCUUUUCUAGCCCAGAGGAAGUAGAAGCUAUCCCCAAGAAGGCUUGCAGUGAUUUGAUCCGGGGUGAUCGAAUUUUGAAGAUUGGGAAACUAGGGUUCUUCGGGUUUCAAAACUUGCGAGGUGAUUGACGGUCUUCCUUGGGUGAGCGAUUUCGGUGUGUAUUGUGUUGAAUUGAAGACGCAGCGGGAAUAUCGAGCGGGUAAUCCUGCAGGUCAGGAGAAUCAGGACGGUGAUCGUGCGGGUUAGAGAAUUUGUUUUAGUUUUACAGCAAUUGUAAUUGUGAGGUGAGUUAUGCUCAUUUGAGCCUUACAAUAUAAUUUGGUGAGAGUGUGCUGUAAUAAACAAAUUUGAGAUUUGGUUUAUGUAAUAUCGAGCGAUGUGAGGUGUGGUUGUUUUGAGAAAAAAAUUCAGGUUGUAUUUAUGUGAGUUGUAUUAAUUCAUGUUUCGGAUUUUGAAUUGAUUAUUCAAAAUUCGGGGCGUGACAGUUUGGUAUCAGAGCGUAAGGUACAUAUUUGGUGAUAAUCAGUACUCCCCGAGUGAUGGCCCGUCUGCAGCGGAUCCCCAUCAUAUACUCUUCGGUACUGGUAUAAUCAUUGGGUAUGUCUUAGUAUGGGGUCUAGACAGCGUGUAUGUCAGUAGGACGGUAGAGUUGUCUUCUAAGUUCGUAUUAGAAUAAGUUUAGUUUCCGCAGGUUGUAAUCUUCGAGGAAUAGAGACCUCUAGAUUUAACUCUGAUGAGUCGGUGAGAUUUGUUUUAUGGAAGUGAGGUCCUUUUGGAUGUUGAA